rnacentral:rRNA from 1 species
GGAGGGGGCGAGCGUUAUUCGGAAUUAUUGGGCGUAAAGGGCGCGUAGGCGGCCUGAUAAGUCAAAGGUGAAAUCCCUCGGCUCAACUGAGGAAUUGCCUUUGAAACUGUCAGGCUUGAGGCCGGGAGGGGGUGGCGGAAUUCCCAGUGUAGCGGUGAAAUGCGUAGAUAUUGGGAGGAACACCAGUGGCGAAGGCGGCCACCUGGACCGGUUCUGACGCUGAUGCGCGAAAGCGUGGGGAGCAAACAGGAUUAGAUACCCUGGUAGUCCACGCUGUAAACGAUGGGUACUCGGUGUCGUGGGUAUCGACCCCUACGGUGCCUUAGCUAACGCGUUAAGUACCCCGCCUGGGGAGUACGGUCGCAAGGCUG